UACGGAAGGCAGCAGUGGGGAAUAUUGCACAAUGGGCGCAAGCCUGAUGCAGCCAUGCCGCGUGUAUGAAGAAGGCCUUCGGGUUGUAAAGUACUUUCAGCGGGGAGGAAGGCGAUGCGGUUAAUAACCGCGUCGAUUGACGUUACCCGCAGAAGAAGCACCGGCUAACUCCGUGCCAGCAGCCGCGGUAAUACGGAGGGUGCAAGCGUUAAUCGGAAUUACUGGGCGUAAAGCGCACGCAGGCGGUCUGUUAAGUCAGAUGUGAAAUCCCCGGGCUUAACCUGGGAACUGCAUUUGAAACUGGCAGGCUUGAGUCUUGUAGAGGGGGUAGAAUUCCAGGUGUAGCGGUGAAAUGCGUAGAGAUCUGGAGGAAUACCGGUGGCGAAGGCGGCCCCUGGACAAGACUGACGCUCAGGUGCGAAGCGUGGGGAGCGAAACAGGAUUAGAUACC
rnacentral:rRNA from 1 species